rnacentral:rRNA from 1 species
UACGUAGGGCGCAAGCGUUCUCCGGAAUUAUUGGGCGUAAAGAGCUCGUAGGCGGUUUGUCGCGUCUGCCGUGAAAGUCCGGGGCUCAACUCCGGAUCUGCGGUGGGUACGGGCAGACUAGAGUGAUGUAGGGGAGACUGGAAUUCCUGGUGUAGCGGUGAAAUGCGCAGAUAUCAGGAGGAACACCGAUGGCGAAGGCAGGUCUCUGGGCCAUUACUGACACUGAGAAGCGAAAGCAUGGGGAGCGAACAGG